GGCGGACGGGUGAGUAAUGUCUGGGAAACUGCCUGAUGGAGGGGGAUAACUACUGGAAACGGUAGCUAAUACCGCAUAACGUCUCCGGACCAAAGUGGGGGACCUUCGGGCCUCACACCAUGGGAUGUGCCCAGAUGGGAUUAGCUUGUAGGUGGGGUAAUGGCUCACCUAGGCGACGAUCCCUAGCUGGUCUGAGAGGAUGACCAGCCACACUGGAACUGAGACACGGUCCAG
rnacentral:rRNA from 1 species